rnacentral:lncRNA from 1 species
GUCUAUUCAAUUCUAGGUUUUGAAAGUGUGAUAAAAAUUUAUUAUUUUCAAUAUGAUUCUAGGUUUCGAGAGAAAAGAAAGAAUAGGUGGGUAUGUUUGGUCUUGUUAUAAUGAGAAAAUUGAGUUGUAAAAGGAAAGGGUUGAGAGAAGAGAGGUGUUAAAGAAUAGAAGAAGAAAAAUCUAAUAAGAUGAUUUAAACUAAUAUGGAAAAAAGAAGAAG